rfam:Schistosoma mattheei strain Denwood, Zambia genome assembly, scaffold: SMTD_scaffold0001872
GCGCUGCUGAGGAGUCCCACAAUAGGACGGAACGACCGUCCAGUGC